rnacentral:tRNA from 1 species
GGGCCGUUAGCUCAACUGGUAGAGCAACUGACUCUUAAUCAGUAGGUUUGGGGUUCGAGUCCCCGACGGCCUACCA